CUUUGUUUAAAACCAGGUGCUUGCCAGAGUGGAAAUAAUUUAUUUCAAGGUUCCUUCAAACAGGGAAGUCUGAAGACAAAUCUGCAGCAGGUCUCAAGUGCUGUCAGUGCUCCCACUUCUACAUUUCACUGGUGAAGAGACAAAGCAGCACUGUUUCCUGCAACUGCAUCUCUGUCCCUUUGCCUCUCCUUGGACUUGCCAACUGUGAAAAAUGGGAAUGCAGCUCCAUCCAUCCCGUGGGACUCAGAUUGUUAUAAACACAAUCAUAGAAUACCAGGUUGCAAGGGAUUGCAAGGACCAUCUAGUCCACCCUUUCUUGGUAAAAGCAAGGUCUAGACAUGGGCUAGUACGCUGUCCAGCUGAACCUUAGCUUCCAAAACUGGAGAGUCCACCAUUCCUCUGGGGAGGUUAUUCCAAUGGCUGCUGU